UCUGUAAUCUCUUGGUAUGUAUUCGAAUUUAUACCGAAGUAGGGGACCAGCUCUAUCAAUCAAAAACCAAACUUCAUUGUUGACAAAUACUUAGGCUCUCUCUAGGUAAAAGAAUCAUCAUAUCUUUUAGUGUUAAAGACAGCUACUACAAACUAAAAGAUAUGAUGAUUCUUUUACCUAGAGAGAGCCUAAGUAUUUGUCAACAAUGAAGUUUGGUU